GACGAACGCUGGCGGCGUGCUUAACACAUGCCAGUCGAACGGAAAGGCCCUGCUUUUGUGGGGUGCUCGAGUGGCGAACGGGUGAGUAACACGUGAGUAACCUGCCCUUGACUUUGGGAUAACUUCAGGAAACCGGGGCUAAUGCCGGAUAGGAGCUCCUGCUGCAUGGUGGGGGUUGGAAAGUUUCGGCGGUUGGGGAUGGACUCGCGGCUUAUCAGCUUGUUGGUGGGGUAGUGGCUUACCAAGGCUUUGACGGGUAGCCGGCCUGAGAGGGUGACCGGCCACAUUGGGACUGAGAUACGGCCCAGACUCCUACGGGAGGCAGCAGUGGGGAAUAUUGCACAAUGGGCGGAAGCCUGAUGCAGCAACGCCGCGUGCGGGAUGACGGCCUUCGGGUUGUAAACCGCUUUCGCCUGUGACGAAGCGUGAGUGACGGUAAUGGGUAAAGAAGCACCGGCUAACUACGUG
rnacentral:rRNA from 1 species